UUACUUUUUUGCAGUUACACCCCCAGAUUACCAGCCUCCCGGUUUUAAGGAUGGUGAUUGUGAAGGAGUUAUAUUUGAAGGGGAGCCUAUGUAUUUAAAUGUGGGAGAAGUCUCAACACCUUUUCACAUCUUCAAAGUAAAAGUGACCACUGAGAGAGAACGAAUGGAAAAUAUUGAUUCAACUAUACUAUCACCAAAACAAAUAAAAACACCAUUUCAAAAAAUCCUGAGGGACAAAGAUGUAGAAGAUGAACAGGAGCAUUAUACAAGUGAUGAUUUGGACAUUGAAACUAAAAUGGAAGAACAGGAAAAAAACCCUGCAUCUUCCGAACUUGGAGAACCAAGUUUAGUUUGUGAGGAAGAUGAAAUUAUGAGGUCUAAAGAAAGUCCAGAUCUUUCUAUUUCUCAUUCUCAGGUUGAGCAGUUAGUCAAUAAAACAUCUGAACUUGAUAUGUCUGAAAGCAAAACAAGAAGUGGAAAAGUCUUUCAGAAUAAAAUGGUCCUCCAUCACUUUGAUUCUUCUAGUCAAGAGUCACUGCCAAAAAGGAGAAAGUUUAGUGAACCAAAGGAACAUAUAUAAAAAUUAUUUUUGUUCUGCAGGCUUGCAGAGUUCUUCUCAACAUUUAAACUGAAGGACCCUAUAUUAUAUUUCCCUAACUCUGAAGAUGUAUAUGUAGUUU
rnacentral:sRNA from 1 species